GAUGAACGCUGGCGGCGUGCUUAACACAUGCAAGUCGAACGAAGCACUUUAUUUGAUUUCCUUCGGGACUGAUUAUUUUGUGACUGAGUGGCGGACGGGUGAGUAACGCGUGGGUAACCUGCCUUGUACAGGGGGAUAACAGUUGGAAACGGCUGCUAAUACCGCAUAAGCGCCCAGCAUCGCAUGAUGCAGUGUGAAAAACUCCGGUGGUAUAAGAUGGACCCGCGUUGGAUUAGCUAGUUGGUGAGGUAACGGCCCACCAAGGCGACGAUCCAUAGCCGACCUGAGAGGGUGACCGGCCACAUUGGGACUGAGACACGGCCCAAACUCCUACGGGAGGCAGCAGUGGGGAAUAUUGCACAAUGGGCGAAAUCCUGAUGCAGCGACGCCGCGUGAGCGAAGAAGUAUUUCGGUAUGUAAAGCUCUAUCAGCAGGGAAGAUAAUGACGGUACCUGACUAAGAAGCACCGGCUAAAUACGUG
rnacentral:rRNA from 1 species